rnacentral:lncRNA from 1 species
AUGUUGUUCUUGCCAGGACUCUGGCCCAGUUGUGGGGCUUUGAGAAACAAAGUACCUCCAUUUCUUGGUUUGAAAGAUGGAAAUACUAACGCAUUCCUGAACUCUCUUAGAAAUGUAAACACGAAGACAGUGCCAAGAUACUAUACUUUGCCAUUUGGAAAAGCACUUGGUCACCAUCGAACAAGAAGAGAGAAUGGAGAUUGUCAUGAGCCAAGCACAGGAGGGACUGCACAACUGCUGCCCGUAUUCAUUGGCCACAACUCAGUCACCUGGCUCCACUCUAACAGGGAAACGUGGAAGUUUUCUAACCUGGAAAAUGCAGCUUGACCAAGUACCCAACAGGAAAAUGAAAUAUUUUUGAUGAUUACCCAGCAUUGCAUCUGCCUUGAAAGCAAAACAACUCCCUCUUUUGAGACAUAGCUGUUUGCUGACAACAAGCCCUUUACUUCCCCUCCUCAAGAACGAAGGAGCCACACUGGCUUGGAGAGAGUGUUGUCUGGGCAUCUUAGACGAUUGAAACAACUCCAUGAUGGGCAAAGGGCUUAACAAUGGGGUGAAAAAAGUCCGAAUGUUGUUCUGCAUUGUCUUGGGUAGAAACUUAAGGAUGUAGCAGAAUAAGCCUUUGACUGACCUCUAUCACUUGUCCUGGAAAUGUUUUUUUCAUUCAUUUUAAGGAAAAUCAAAAGAAGACCUGGUCUAUGUGUCUGAUUUUUCUAGGUCCUCAAAUGUACAGCAUUUGAACUUCAAAAGUCUUUCCCUGUCUAGAGAGAGGGAACGGUUCCAGGUGUUUACCUAUAUUUCCUUUUCUUUUUUUGUUCUUUGUGUGUUUGUGUGCUUUUCCAUUUCUACAUCUACAUCUUUAAUGUGCCUUGAAUUUAUUUUGAUAUUUGGUAUUUGAUGAGAAGUAACUUGAUUGAGUAGCUUUAAAAAUAUUCCAAGCCCUAAUUAUUACAUAACAUCUGGAUCCCAUUGCCUUAAAUUUAUUUCUUUAACAUACACUUAUUUUACAUUUAUACAAGGAUCU